AAAGAGGCUUUCUCACCAGCCAAAGUUCAGGUACUGCCCCUGUCUGAGUUUGGACAUGUGGCCCACAGAUGCCAGCUGGGGGCUGGAAUACUGUACCUUGAUCUUAGGGCCUGGAAAAAUCAGGUAGGUAACUCUCUGGUCCUAGGUGGAGGUGUAGGGGAGGUUGGGCCAGGGAUGCCUUCACUGUGUCUCUCUGGUCUUGCCACCCCAGACCGAGGGACACACAGGCACUGCUGUCUGCAACACAAGCAAUGGAGCUGCGGAGGCGAGACUACCACAUGGAACGGCCGCUGCUGAACCAGGAGCAUUUGGAGGAGCUGGGGCGCUGGGGCUCAGCACCUAGGACCCACCAGUGGCGGACCUGGUUGCAGUGCUCCCGUGCUCAGGCCUAUGCCCUUCUGCUCCAACACCUCCCGGUUUUGGUCUGGUUACCCCGGUAUCCUGUGCGUGACUGGCUCCUGGGUGACCUGUUAUCCGGCCUGAGUGUGGCCAUCAUGCAGCUUCCGCAGGGCUUGGCCUACGCCCUCCUGGCUGGAUUGCCCCCCGUGUUUGGCCUCUAUAGCUCCUUCUACCCUGUCUUCAUCUACUUCCUGUUUGGCACUUCCCGGCACAUCUCCGUGGGGACCUUUGCAGUCAUGUCUGUGAUGGUGGGCAGUGUGACAGAAUCCCUGGCCCCGCAGGCCUUGAACGACUCCAUGAUCAAUGAGACAGCCAGAGACGCUGCCCGGGUACCGGUGGCCUCCACACUCAGUGUCCUGGUUGGCCUCUUCCAGGUGGGGCUGGGCCUGAUCCACUUCGGCUUCGUGGUCACCUACCUGUCAGAACCUCUUGUCCGAGGCUAUACCACAGCUGCAGCUGUGCAGGUCUUCGUCUCACAGCUCAAGUAUGUGUUUGGCCUCCAUCUGAGCAGCCACUCUGGGCCACUGUCCCUCAUCUAUGUGAGUGAGGGUAGGGGGAGGGAGGGGUAGGUGUGCCCCAUGGCCUUGAGUGCUAGCUGUGACCUGGCCUCUCCUCAGACAGUGCUGGAGGUCUGCUGGAAGCUGCCCCAGAGCAAGGUUGGCACCGUGGUCACUGCAGCUGUGGCUGGGGUGGUGCUCGUGGUGGUGAAGCUGUUGAAUGACAAGCUGCAGCAGCAGCUGCCCAUGCCGAUACCCGGGGAGCUGCUCACGCUCAUCGGGGCCACAGGCAUCUCCUAUGGCAUGGGUCUGAAGCACAGAUUUGAGGUAGAUGUCGUGGGCAACAUCCCUGCAGGGCUGGUGCCCCCAGUGGCCCCCAACACCAAGCUGUUCUCAAAGCUCGUGGGCAGCGCCUUCACCAUCGCUGUGGUUGGGUUUGCCAUUGCCAUCUCACUGGGGAAGAUCUUCGCCCUGAGGCACGGCUACCGGGUGGACAGCAACCAGGAGCUGGUGGCCCUGGGCCUCAGUAACCUCAUCGGAGGCAUCUUCCAGUGCUUCCCCGUGAGUUGCUCUAUGUCUCGGAGCCUGGUACAGGAGAGCACCGGGGGCAACUCGCAGGUUGCUGGAGCCAUCUCUUCCCUUUUCAUCCUCCUCAUCAUUGUCAAACUUGGGAAACUCUUCCAUGACCUGCCCAAGGCGGUCCUGGCAGCCAUCAUCAUUGUGAACCUGAAGGGCAUGCUGCGGCAGCUCAGCGACAUGCGCUCCCUCUGGAAGGCCAAUCGGGCGGAUCUGCUUAUCUGGCUGGUGACCUUCACGGCCACCAUCUUGCUGAACCUGGACCUUGGCUUGGUGGUUGCGGUCAUCUUCUCCCUGCUGCUCGUGGUGGUCCGGACACAGAUGCCCCACUACUCUGUCCUGGGGCAGGUGCCAGACACGGAUAUUUACAGAGAUGUGGCAGAGUACUCAGAGGCCAAGGAAGUCCCGGGGGUGAAGGUCUUCCGCUCCUCGGCCACCGUGUACUUUGCCAAUGCUGAGUUCUACAGUGAUGCGCUGAAGCAGAGGGUGAGACGGAGUCCCCAGGAUGGGUGUCAGGCCCCAGCUCCCAGAGAGCUCACCAACCCUUCUCUGAUGUUUGCCUCCAGUGUGGUGUGGAUGUCGACUUCCUCAUCUCCCAGAAGAAGAAACUGCUCAAGAAGCAGGAGCAGCUGAAGCUGAAGCAACUGCAGAAAGAGGAGAAGCUUCAGAAACAGGCUGCCUCCUCCAAGGGCGCCUCAGUUUCCAUUAAUGUCAACACCAGCCUUGAAGACAUGAGGAGCAACAACGUUGAGGACUGCAAGAUGAUGCAGGUGAGCUCAGGAGAUAAGAUGGAAGAUGCAACAGCCAAUGGUCAAGAAGACUCCAAGGCCCCAGAUGGGUCCACACUGAAGGCCCUGGGCCUGCCUCAGCCAGACUUCCACAGCCUCAUCCUGGACCUGGGUGCCCUCUCCUUUGUGGACACUGUGUGCCUCAAGAGCCUGAAGAAUAUUUUCCAUGACUUCCGGGAGAUUGAGGUGGAGGUGUACAUGGCGGCCUGCCACAGCCCUGUGGUCAGCCAGCUUGAGGCUGGGCACUUCUUCGAUGCAUCCAUCACCAAGAAGCAUCUCUUUGCCUCUGUCCAUGAUGCUGUCACCUUUGCCCUCCAACACCCGAGGCCUGUCCCCGACAGCCCUGUUUCGGUCACCAGACUCUGAACAUGCUACAUCCUGCCCAAGACUGCACCUCUGGAGGUGCAGGGCACCCUUGAGAAGCCCCUCACCCCUAGGCCGCCUCCAGGUGCUACCCAGGAGUCCCCUCCAUGUACACACACACAACUCAGGGAAGGAGGUCCUGGACUCCAAGUUCAGCGCUCCAGGUCUGGGACAGGGCCUGCAUGCAGUCAGGCUGGCAGUGGCGCGGUACAGGGAGGGAACUGGUGCAUAUUUUAGCCUCAGGAAUAAAGAUUUGUCUGC
rnacentral:sRNA from 1 species